rnacentral:rRNA from 1 species
GCGGACGGGUGAGGAAUACAUGGGAAUCUACCCUGUCGUGGGGGAUAACGUAGGGAAACUUACGCUAAUACCGCAUACGACCGAGAGGUGAAAACGGCGGACCGCAAGGCGUCGCGCGGCUGGAUGAGCCCAUGUCGUAUUAGCUAGUUGGCGGGGUAAAGGCCCACCAAGGCGACGAUCCGUAGCUGGUCUGAGAGGAUGAUCAGCCACACUGGAACUGAGACACGGUCCAGACUCCUACGGGAGGCAGCAGUGGGGAAUAUUGGACAAUGGGCGCAAGCCUGAUCCAGCAAUGCCGCGUGGGUGAAGAAGGCCUUCGGGUUGUAAAGCCCUUUUGUACGGGAAGAAUCCUGUCGGUUAAUACCCGGCGGGGAUGACGGUACCGUAAGAAUAAGCACCGGCUAACUUCGUGCCAGCAGCCGCGGUAAUACGAAAGGGUGCAAGCGUUAAUCGGGAAUUACUGGGCGUAAAGCGUGCGUAAGCGUGGUGGUUUAGUCAGAUGUGAAAGCCCUGGGCUCAACCUGGGAUGGCAUUUGAAACUGGCUGGCUAGAGUGUGGUAGAGGAUGGCCGAAUUCCCGGUGUAGCGGUGAAAUGCGUAGAGAUCGGGAGGAACAUCCGUGGCGAAGGCGGCCAUCUGGACCAACACUGACGCUGAGGCACGAAAGCGUUGGGAGCAAACAGGAUUAGAUACCCUGGUAGUCCACGCCCUAAACGAUGCGAACUGGAUGUUGGGCUCAACUCGGAGCUCAGAGUCGAAGCUAACGCGUUAAGUUCGCCGCCUGGGGAGUACGGUCGCAAGACUGAAACUCAAAGGAAUUGACGGGGGCCCGCACAAGCGGUGGAGUAUGUGGUUUAAUUCGAUGCAACGCGCAGAACCUUACCUGGUCUUGACAUGUCGCGAACCCUGCAGAGAUGCGGGGGUGCCUUCGGGAACGCGAACACAGGUGCUGCAUGGCUGUCGUCAGCUCGUGUCGUGAGAUGUUGGGUUAAGUCCCGCAACGAGCGCAACCCUUGUCCUUAGUUGCCAGCGAGUAAUGUCGGGAACUCUAAGGAGACUGCCGGUGACAAACCGAAGAAGGUGGGGAUGACGUCAGUCAUCAUGGCCCUUACGACCAGGGCUACACCGUACUACAAUGGUCGGUACAAAGG